rnacentral:rRNA from 1 species
GAUGAACGCUGACAGAAUGCUUAACACAUGCCAGUCUUUGGUGAAGCUGUGCUUGCACAGCCUAGCCAAGGCGGACGGGUGAGUAACGCGUAAGGAACUUGCCCUGCAGUCAGGGAUAACAGACGGAAACGACUGAUAAGACCUGGUAAAGUCAGGCGGACUCAUGUCCAGCCUGAUGAAAAGAGAUGCUGCAGGAGAGCCUUGCGUCCUAUUAGCUUGUUGGUGGGGUAACGGCCCACCAAGGCAAUGAUAGGUAGCCGGCCUGAGAGGGUGGACGGCCACAAGGGGACUGAGAUACGGCCCUUACUCCUACGGGAGGCAGCAGUGGGGAAUAUUGGACAAUGAGGGCAACCCUGAUCCAGCAAUUCUGUGUGCACGAUGAAGGUUUUCGGAUUGUAAAGUGCUUUCAGCAGGGAAGAAAAAAAUGACGGUACCUGCAGAAGAAGCGACGGCUAAAUACGUG